UACGAAGGGGGCGAGCGUUGUUCGGAUUUACUGGGCGUAAAGGGCGCGCAGGCGGCCUAUUUUGUCAGGCGUGAAAGCCCCGGGCUUAACCUGGGAACUGCGUUUGAUACGGAUGGGCUAGAGUUCGGGAGAGGAGAGUGGAAUUCCCAGUGUAGAGGUGAAAUUCGUAGAUAUUGGGAAGAACACCAGUGGCGAAGGCGACUUACUGGACACAUAUUGACGCUGAGGUGCGAAAGCGUGGGGAGCAAACAGG
rnacentral:rRNA from 1 species